rnacentral:rRNA from 1 species
UACAGAGGGGGCAAGCGUUGUUCGGAAUUACUGGGCGUAAAGGGCGCGUAGGCGGCCUGUUAAGUCGAACGUGAAAUCCCCGGGCUCAACCCGGGAACUGCGUCCGAUACUGGCAGGCUUGAAUCCGGGAGAGGGAUGCGGAAUUCCGAGUGUAGAGGUGAAAUUCGUAGAUAUUCGGAGGAACACCAGUGGCGAAGGCGGCUCACUGGUCCGGUACUGACGCUGAGGUGCGAAAGCGUGGGGAGCAAACAGG